rnacentral:rRNA from 1 species
UACGUAGGAUGCAAGCGUUGUCUGGAAUUAUUGGGCGUAAAGAGCGCGCAGGCGGUCUGCCAAGUCAGAUGUGAAAGAGGCCGGCUUAACCGGCAAGGGUCAUUUGAAACUGACAGACUAGAGUGCAGCAGAGGAUAGCGGAAUUCCCGGUGUAGUGGUGAAAUGCGUAGAUAUCGGGAGGAACACCAGUGGCGAAGGCGGCUAUCUGGGCUGCAACUGACGCUGAGGCGCGAAGGCUAGGGUAGCAAACAGG